rnacentral:misc_RNA from 1 species
UGAACGCACCUUGCACUCCUUGGUAUUCCGAGGAGUAUGCCUGUUUGAGUCUCAUGAAAUUCUCAACUUCAUAGUUUUAUUACUAUGAUGCUUGGAUUUGGAAGCUUGCUGGCGAAAGUCGGCUCUUCUUAAAUGCAUUAGCUGCUUGUCUGUGAGUUGGCUCAGAGUGUGAUAAGUAUCUACACUUGGUGGCUGCUUGCCUUGGAUGUGGCUUCUAAUCGUCUUCGGACAAUUUCUUAAGAUCCGAGCUCAAAUCAGGUAGGACUACCCGCUGAACUUAA